rnacentral:rRNA from 1 species
UACGUAGGUGGCAAGCGUUGUCCGGAUUUACUGGGCGUAAAGAGCGCGCAGGCGGUCGGAUAAGUCGAAUGUGAAAGCCGCCGGCUCAACUGGGGAGGGUCAUUCGAUACUGUUCGACUCGAAGGCAGGAGAGGGAAGUGGAAUUCCCGGUGUAGUGGUGAAAUGCGUAGAUAUCGGGAGGAACACCAGUGGCGAAGGCGACUUCCUGGCCUGUUCUUGACGCUGAGGCGCGAAAGCUAGGGGAGCAAACGGG